GACGAACCGUGCGAACGUUGUUCGGAUUCACUGGGCUUAAAGGGCGCGCAGGCGGCCAAGUGUGUGAGGCGUGAAAGCCUGGGGCUUAACUCCAGAAUUGCACCUCAAACUACAUGGCUAGAGCAUUGGAGAGGGUAGCAGAAUUCACGGUGUAGCAGUGAAAUGCGUAGAUAUCGUGAGGAAUACCAGAGGCGAAGGCGGCUACCUGGACAAUUGCUGACGCUCAGGCACGAAAGCGUGGGGAGCAAACAGG
rnacentral:rRNA from 1 species